rnacentral:rRNA from 1 species
UACGGGGGGGGCAAGCGUUGUUCGGAAUUACUGGGCGUAAAGGGCUCGUAGGCGGCCAACUAAGUCGGAUGUGAAAUCCCCAAGCUUAACUUGGGAACUGCAUCCGAUACUGGAUGGCUUGAAUCCGGGAGAGGGAUGCAGAAUUCCAGGUGUAGCGGUGAAAUGCGUAGAUAUCUGGAGGAACACCAGUGGCGCAGGCGGCGUCCUGGACCGGCACUGACGCUGAGGUGCGAAAGCGUGGGGAGCGAACAGG